rnacentral:rRNA from 1 species
UACGUAGGGUGCGAGCGUUAAUCGGAAUUACUGGGCGUAAAGCGUGCGCAGGCGGUUCUCCAAGUCCGUUGUGAAAGCCCCGGGCUCAACCUGGGAAUGGCAGUGGAAACUAGGGGACUGGAAUCUGGGCAGAGGGGGGGUGGGAAUGGCCCGGCGGUGGCAAGCAGUGAAAUGCGUAGAUAUGCGGAGGAACACCGAUGGCGAAGGCAAUCCCCUGGACCUGUACUGACGCUCAUGCACGAAAGCGUGGGGAGCAAACAGG